rnacentral:rRNA from 1 species
GACGAACGCUGGCGGCGUGCUUAACACAUGCAAGUCGAACGGAAAGGCCCUGCUUUUGUGGGGUGCUCGAGUGGCGAACGUGUGAGUAACACGUGAGUAACCUGCCCUUGACUUUGGGAUAACUUCAGGAAACUGGUGCUAAUACCGGAUAGGAGCUCCUGCUGCAUGGUGGGGGUUGGAAAGUUUCGGCGGUUGGGGAUGGACUCGCGGCUUAUCAGCUUGUUGGUGGGGUAGUGGCUUACCAAGGCUUUGACGGGUAGCCGGCCUGAGAGGGUGACCGGCCACAUGGGGACUGAGAUACGGCCCAGACUCCUACGGGAGGCAGCAGUGGGGAGUAUUGCACAAUGGGCGGAAGCCUGAUGCAGCAACGCCGCGUGCGGGAUGACGGCCUUCGGGUUGUAAACCGCUUUAGCCUGUGACGAAGCGUGAGUGACGGUAAUGGGUAAAGAAGCACCGGCUAACUACGUG